AGCUUGUUGGCGCUGCCACAAUUUCCCCAGGUCUGUCCGAACCUGCCAGUAAGCCCCUAUAUCCAAUUCCAACUCUCCCAAAAACAUAUGGACAGCCUUACUGGCACGGUAAACCUAGCUGUCCAUGCUUAAAAAGAUCCGACAACGUCAUUUCCUCAAUUAGCAUAUGUAACAAUCUUUCUAACUGGUAUUUUCUGACAGUGGUUUGAGUAAGUCCGACAACCGUUACGAGUUGUGUCGGCCCAAUUGCUACCCUGCGCAGAAUGGUUGACAAUCCGACGAAGUGUCAAACUUCGGCACUUCGUCAUCGUUCUUAUUGGAUCGAGUGGUGGUAAUAUAAGACGAAUCAAGGGGAUUCGUCCUUCUUUGCCGUUUGACUUUUGAAGAAAAUAGUAGUGCGCGCCCGUAAAGUGUCCUAGCUAAAAAAAGUAAGGUUACAAAUUAUAGUAACCAUGUGGUGUAUAUAAUAGUUUGUGCUUUUUUUUCUAGUUUGCCCUAAAUUACGAUUAGUAUCGAAUGUUAGUAGUUCAAAUUAGUGGUAUAAAAGUGUUAGUACGUUGUGAACAAGCAGUUAAACACGAAAACGAACAUCUAUAACAAUUACCAACUUAUAACAAAGAAAAGGUCCGAAAUCGGGCCUUUUCUUUUUGCGUUUCCUCGCGUGGUUUAUCCCGGAGGAACUUCUUUCAUCCGCAGUGAAGCCAAAGGACCAGUUUGGAGUGUAGGAAAGUUGGUUGGUGUGCCGAUAACCAGCUUAGUUCCGCCCGCCAUCUUGGAGCGUCCGUUCCAACAAUAGCAUCGACGCCAUUUUGAAAUUUCGGCCAUUGCAACAUCUUUACGGCUUCCUUCCCGCUUUCAACGUUCGGUCAGUCGGAUUAAGACCAAACCCGACAAGGAACCCGAACGAAAGAAGCCCAGCUGGUGGGCCACAGUCCGUCCAGCAACCCUACAUUGCCACAAUCCGUCCAACAACCCUACAUUUCCACACCAGCAAGAAACAGAUUCGAAAGAAGCCCAGCUGGUGGGCCCUAGUCCAUUCAGCAAUCACGGAAUCCAGUCGAUGAAGGCCAUGCUGGUGGGCCAUAGUCCGUUCAGCAGCCAUCUCUGGGAAAUAGCUUAACGCCCUCGGUCGAGGACCGAAUACCGACCCUCUUUCGCCCGUUUUCUCGCCAACAACCCGCCCAAUUCGCCGACAUCCAGCCAAGCUAGCCACUGUUCAUCACCAUCAAGCCUCGCCAACAACCCACCAAAAGCGCAAGUACCAUGUAACCGUCUCUCCACCAUACCAAUA